rnacentral:lncRNA from 1 species
GAUUUUUUGUUUUUGUCUUGUUAAAUAUGUGUGCAGAGGCAACAACAUAUUAGUUCUUAGUAGGAAUUACACAAGCAAAGGAGUCAAACAUAAUAAAGUGGAAAUGAAGGUUAUCAUAAGCAUCAAUACAACAGAACUUCAAUCAAAAUUAACAAUCUUUCUGUAGAAAAUUAAAAUAAUUUUGAUUUCUUCCACUUACAUCCAUAACAUCUCUUUAAAGCCCUAGAUCCACACUAUAAGACCAAGAUAUACCAAAAUUGGAACAGAAGGCAGAGGAAGAAAAAAUUAGGGGCAGUAGCAUUAAAAAAAACUUAAAGAAGCCCCUAUUUUUUUAUCAGACUCAAACCUCAGAAAGAAACAUAUUUUCAAGCAACCACCGCAUUUCAAACACACAAAAAUAGAAAAAAUUAGGGGCAGUAGCAUUAAAAAAAACUUAAAGAAGCCCCUAUUUUUUUAUCAGACUCAAACCUCAGAAAGAAACAUAUUUUCAAGCAACCACCGCAUUUCAAACACACAAAAAAAAACCCAGUAGCAAAAAACUUUCAAUCACCAAGCAUCAAAUUUCAAAACAACAUGAUACAAGAAAUUUCAAAACAACACAUAACAAAAAAAAUAGAAACAAAUAGAAAUAGGAGUAAGAAGGAAAAUCAACCACCGGAAAGCAAUCACCGACCACCAUUCAAAGGCUUCUCGCCUUCGUAAAUCCAGACCCUUUUAGAGGACCUUUCGUACACUGCUUGGUUCGAUUCUGCUUCUUCUUCUUCGUAUUUACUUUACCUUCUUUUUAAUUAUCGUAAUACUGAAAAGUGAAUGAGAAUGAAUGGAGUUUAGAUAUUUGAAAGGAGAGGGUAUCGUAUUUUCUCAGAAAAAUGAGGCA